rnacentral:rRNA from 1 species
UACGGGGGGGGCAAGCGUUGUUCGGAAUUCCUGGGCGUAAAGGGCUCGUAGGCGGCCAACUAAGUCAGACGUGAAAUCCCUCGGCUUAACCGGGGAACUGCGUCUGAUACUGGAUGGCUUGAGUUUGGGAGAGGGAUGCGGAAUUCCAGGUGUAGCGGUGAAAUGCGUAGAUAUCUGGAGGAACACCGGUGGCGAAGGCGGCAUCCUGGACCAACACUGACGCUGAGUGAGCGAAAGCCAGGGGAGCAAACAGG